UUCUGGCUACAGAACGAACGCUGGCGGCAGGCCUAAAACAUGCAAGUUGAACGGCUGUAGCAAUACAGCAGUAGCGCAGGGGGUGAGUAAUGGUAUGGGAACGUAUCUUUUGGUGGGGAAUAUUCUUUGGAAACGAAGAGCAAUACCGCAUAAGCCCUACGGGGGAAAGAUUUAUCGCCGAUUGCGCGGCCCAUAUUGGAUUAGCUAGUUGGUUAGGUAACGGCUGACCAAGGCUGUGAUCCAUAGCUGGUCUGAGAGGACGAUCAGCCACACUGGGACUGAGACACGGCCCAGACUCCUACGGGAGGCAGCAGUUAGGAAUAUUGGACAAUGGGGGCAACCCUGGUCCAGCCCAUGCCGCGUGAGUGUUAAGGCCUUCGGGUUGUAAAGCUCUUUUGUAUGGGAAAAUGAUGAUGGUACCAUAAGAAUAAGCACCGGCUAACUUCGUGCCAGCAGCUGC
rnacentral:rRNA from 1 species